AGGUUAAAAAAAAAUAUGCUGAGUAACACAUUUCUCUUUCAACAACUGCUACUUCUAUCCUCCCUGCUCCUAAGAUCCCGUAACUUCAGGAGAUGAGAAACUUCAGAAUGUAACUUUCCCAUAGAAACAAAUACCAGUCAUCCUGGAACUCCAAAUGUGUCCUGGCUACUCUAGGACCAACAAAGAAGAACUUGCAAGGAACACGAAGAUCAAAUCUAAUGCUGACUGCAAGGAAGAUGACAACCCAAAUAUCUUCAAAAGAGUGCACCCCAGGAGAAACGAGCUUUACCACUAUGCCAUCAUCAAGUUCCCCCUGAUUAGUCAGCCAUGAAAAAAACAGAAGACAACACACUUAUGUUCACUGUGGAUGUCAAGGCCAACAAGCGCCAGAUCAAGCAGGCUGUGAAGAAGCUCUAGGACAUUGACAUGGCUAAGGGCAACACCCUGAUCAGACCCCAGAGAAAGAUGGUGGCAUAUGUUCAACUGGCUCCUAUGAAGCUUUGGAUGUUGCC